rnacentral:rRNA from 1 species
AUCCAGCCAUGCCGCGUGAGUGAUGAAGGCCCUAGGGUUGUAAAGCUCUUUCGCCAGGGACGAUAAUGACGGUACCUGGAUAAGAAGCCCCGGCUAACUUCGUGCCAGCAGCCGCGGUAAU